GACUUCACUCUUUUCUUGAAACAAGUCCAUAUGGAUGAAAUAUACGAACUUCUGUCAACGCGACUGCUGCCUGUGCAUUAUUUAAAUGCUAAAAUAAAAAAGGGGAUAUUUUAUUUUCGCACUGGGGUGCAGCAGGUGCCAUGACGGCGAAGGGGAGCCCCGCUCCCCGUGGCGCAGACCCGGGGCAGUGCCAAGCCCUCAGCCCUCACCCACGGCCUCUCCUGCUCCCCCGGCAGCGGCGCGAUUCCAGCGAGGCGGGCGAUAAAGGGAGGUGUGCGGGAGCCUUGCGGCUCGCAGCAUGCCUGAGCCUGGCUAAACCUCAUCAGUAGUCCUGUGAGGGCAGGAAAAAAAUGUCACUUUUCAGAUGGGUAAGUGAGAAAUAGAGGUAAAGUUCAUAAUGAUACAUCUGGGAUAGAGAUUCGUGUUUCCUAAAGCCUUUUCUAUUUCUCUUCAUUCUCAUUAUGUUCCCCUUCUCAGCCCAGGACAGGAUGAAAACCCCUUCAUCUUACCAUUCAUAAACCUUGAGGGGAGGACUGACUGCAGCUAAUAAUUAGAUAUCUGUGGUUAGUGGCUGCUUUACCUCAGUAACUUGCAAUCCCUUUUACUUUCCUAACUUUCCUCGUCAUAUGACCUAAUUCAAAAUCAGGUUUCACUUUCUUUUCUGAAUUACAGGAAGGCAAAUUAGUGCUGUUAUAACGCUGUUACUCAGGAAAACAAGCCGUUUUUCAACUUUUGGAAAAGAGAGGCUUACAAUAUAAAAUAAGAAAAGAUUGAGACUACCUUAAAAAGGGAAAUGUACUCAAAACAAGGCAGUUGCUUUUAUGUACUUUUAUUGCAAAAAUUGUCUCUGGAUACUGCUUAAAUUCUUGUACUUCUGAAGCAUCCCAGUGCCUAUGAAUCUGCCUACCUUUAUCAUUACAUCUUUUUCUGUGCUUUGUUCUUGUCUGAUGCAGUUAACACUCACAGAACAGCAAGCAUAUCACGUCAAACAAUUGUUGUGCAGAAAACAGUAGUUCUCAUUCUACUACAUAAAUAUAUUUUCUCUUCCCCAAAAACAUAAACUGGUGGUUUGAACACGAGGGAAAGAAUACCAUUUUCUCCUUGAUUGCAUAAGGCAAAGGAAGGUAACUUCCCUACUUAUCUACAGGUAAAAGAGAGAGGUUUAACUUGGCAGUGCAUGCAGAGCACUUUGAGAUUACUAAUUGGAAGGGAUGCUGUAACUAAAAUGGCUACUGCUAGAAGCAAAGUGAAUGUAUAAAAGAAUGACCAUAAGUAUUAUUUUA
rnacentral:lncRNA from 1 species